rnacentral:rRNA from 1 species
AUACGGAGGGGACUAGCGUUGUUCGGAUUUACUGGGCGUAAAGAGAGCGUAGGCGGCGAGUCAAGUCCGGUGUGAAGGCUUUACCGCUCACCGGAAAGAGGUCAUCGGAAACUGGCUCGCUUGAGUAGGGUAGAGGCAAGCGGAAUUCCUGGUGUAGCGGUGGAAUGUGUAGAUAUCAGGAAGAACAUCGGUGGCGAAGGCGGCUUGCUGGGCUCUAACUGACGCUGAGGCUCGAAAGCGUGGGGAGCGAACGGGAUUAGAAACCCUAGUAGUCC